rnacentral:rRNA from 1 species
GACGAACGCUGGCGGCGUGCCUAAUACGUGCAAGUAGAACGCUGAAGGAGGAGCUUGCUCUUCUGGAUGAGUUGCGAACGGGUGAGUAACGCGUAGGUAACCUGCCUGGUAGCGGGGGAUAACUAUUGGAAACGAUAGCUAAUACCGCAUAAUAGUAGAUGUUGCAUGACAUUUGCUUAAAAGGUGCAAUUGCAUCACUACCAGAUGGACCUGCGUUGUAUUAGCUAGUUGGUGAGGUAACGGCUCACCAAGGCAACGAUACAUAGCCGACCUGAGAGGGUGAUCGGCCACACUGGGACUGAGACGCGGCCCAGACUCCUACGGGAGGCAGCAGUAGGGAAUCUUCGGCAAUGGACGGAAGUCUGACCGAGCAACGCCGCGUGAGUGAAGAAGGUUUUCGGAUCGUAAAGCUCUGUUGUAAGAGAAGAACGAGUGUGAGAGUGGAAAGUUCACACUGUGACGGUAUCUUACCAGAAAGGGACGGCUAACUACGUGCCAGCAGCCGCGGUAAUACGUAGGUCCCGAGCGUUGUCCGGAUUUAUUGGGCGUAAAGCGAGCGCAGGCGGUUAGAUAAGUCUGAAGUUAAAGGCUGUGGCUUAACCAUAGUACGCUUUGGAAACUGUUUAACUUGAGUGCAAGAGGGGAGAGUGGAAUUCCAUCUGUAUCGGUGAAAUGCGUAAUAUAUGGAGAGAAAACCGGUGGUCAUAACGCCCU